GAUGAAGAACGUAGCGAAAUGCGAUACGUAGUGUGAAUUGCAGAAUUCAGUGAAUCAUCGAAUCUUUGAACGCACAUUGCACCUCUCGGUAGUCCGGGAGGUAUGCCUGUUCGAGCGUCAUUUGUACCCUCAAGCUCUGCUUGGUGUUGGGUGUUUGUUCCGCCUCUGUGUGUGAACUCGCCUCAAAACAAUUGGCAGCCGGCGUACUUGUUUCGGAGCGCAGCACAUUUUGCGAUCCAGAUCAACGUACAGCGGCAUCCAAGAAGCCUUAUUUAACGCUCUUGACCUCGGAUCAGGUAGGGAUACCCGCUGAACUUAAGAAUAUCAAUAAGCGGAGGA
rnacentral:misc_RNA from 1 species